UACGGGGGGGGCAAGCGUUGUUCGGAAUUACUGGGCGUAAAGGGCUCGUAGGCGGCCAACUAAGUCAGACGUGAAAUCCCUCGGCUUAACCGGGGAACUGCGUCUGAUACUGGAUGGCUUGAGAUUGGGAGAGGGAUGCGGAAUUCCAGGUGUAGCGGUGAAAUGCGUAGAUAUCAGGAGGAACACCUGCGGCGAAGGCGGCUUCCUGGCCCAUUACUGACGUUCAGGUACGAAAGCGUGGGUAGCAAACAGG
rnacentral:rRNA from 1 species